rfam:Picea glauca, whole genome shotgun sequence.
CCAUGCAUGUAUAAGUAUGAACUAAUUCAAACUGUGAAACUAUGGAUGGCUUAUUAAAUUAUUUAUAGUUUCUUUGAUCAUACCCUACUACUUGAAUAACCAUAGUAAUUCUAUAGAUAAUACAUGAAGCAAGUCCUGACUCUUUGGAAGGGAUGCAUUUAUUAGAUAAAAGUUUGGUGUGGAAUUUCCCUCUUCUGUAGUGAAUCAUGAUAACUCGAUGGAUCGCAUAUCCCUUUUGUUGACGAUGGUUCACUAAAAUUUCUUCCCUAUCAACUUUACAUGGUAGGAUAUAGGUCUACCAUGGUGGUGACGAGUGACGAAGAAUUAGGGUUGAAUUUCAGAGAGGGAAUGAUGCAAAACCCCUUCUCUCCAAGGGUUGCAUG